rnacentral:rRNA from 1 species
AACGAACGCUGGCGGCGCGUCUUAAGCAUGCAAGUCGAACGUCAAGAUAGAAGCUUGCUUCUAUCCUAGAGUGGCGGACUGGUGAGUAACACGUGGGUGACAUACCUUUUAGUUGGGGAUAGCUACUAGAAAUAGUAGAUAAUACCGAAUAUGACCAUUGCAGUUAGAGAGCAAUGAGGAAAGGAGCUAAGGCUUCGCUAGAAGAUUGGCCCGCGGCCCAUUAGUUAGUUGGUGAGGUAAUGGCCCACCAAGACAAUGAUGGGUAUCCGGCCUGAGAGGGUGAUCGGACACAUUGGGACUGAGAUACGGCCCAGACUCCUACGGGAGGCAGCAGCUAAGAAUAUUCCACAAUGGACGAAAGUCUGAUGGAGCGACGCCGCGUGGAUGAUGAAGGCCGAAAGGUUGUAAAAUCCUUUUAAACUGGAAGAAUAAGCGUGGUAGGGAAUGAUCGCGUGAUGACAGUACAGUUUGAAUAAGCAACGGCUAAUUACG